AAUUGGAUUACAGCGCAUGCUCAUUACAAUAUUCUGUGGACCUAGGCAGCAGGAGGUUGGGGAGUGAGAACUGGAGUACAGCCAGAGGGAGGGAGGGACAGAAGCAGAGACUAGCUAGCGCAGCAACUGAGGUCUGGGGAUCUGAUACUGCUGUGUUGCCCUGGAAACCGGAUCCUGAUCCACAUUUAGAUUUUUUGAAGAUCCAUCAGUAGAUCCUACAGGAGAGACUCUUACAGACCCAGUUUCAAGUUCAGCUGUGGCUAGAAAGAACAAGAAAAACAAAUGACCAUAUAUGUUCUGUGUUAUGUUGUGUGAUAGUUUUACAAUAGGCUUUGUCAUAAACCCAUUGAAUUUUUUCCACUGACAGCGGUGGACAUUGUGUCAGGUCCAGAGACAACAGAUAUACAUUUUAAAUCAAUACAAAGGAAACACGAUGAAAAUUACAUAAAAGGGAUAUUCACAAAGGAAGGGACCAGAUUUUUUAAUUAUAUAAGCAAUAUAUUAGCCUUUUUGCUAAUCAGUAAAUAACUGUUAGUAUUUCAAGGGCUAUUGAAAAUCAUAGGUCAAAUCCAUAGAUGCUCUAAGCACACCAAAUUCCAAUAAAGACAACGGAAUGACAAUUGCUUAUUCUAGUGAUACAUUUGGAAGAAUAUGAAUUAUAUACAAUAAUACUGAUUAAAAUAUGUGUGAGAGGAGAAGUGAUUUUUAAAGUUUGUGAAAAAUCUUAAAAGAGGAUUUACUGUAUUUGUGUUAAUCCUAUGUGUAUGGUAUUUGGGAAUUCCUGCAAAACUGACUUCAGAUUAAGACUUUUUUUUGUGGGGGAAUUACAUAAUAUUCUGUACAGCACUUUGGUAAGUGGGCAGUCCUUGCAAAUUUUUUUUAUCAAAUUUGAAAAUUAGUAGAAACAGCAAUGGUGUAUGACAUAAUAGCUUAAUACUAUUUUUGAAUUAUAACUAUAUCAUAAAUUAUAUUUAGUAACACUCAGUUUUUGAAAAAAAAUGUUAACAUGCUCUAACAAAUUACCUUGGUCAAGUUCUUUAGUGAUACUUUUUUCUAGUUCCUGCUGCAUCUGAAAUUAAAUAUUAACAAUAUUUUACAUAUAAACAGUUUAGGAUAGUUAGUGUCACAAAAAUAUUGCUAUAUAUUUAAAAACAGAGUGUAACUAAAAGUGAAACCGAAAUCCUGAACAGAGAUUUAAUUUUGUUUUGGAGAAAAUCUUGAUUAGCUGAGUCUUCAUAUUCUGAUGGUUGAACAAUAUCAACAGCAUCGUAAAACAAUCUAUACCUUCAUAGACAUCAUAGAAAUGUAGGGCUGGAAGGGACCUCAAGAGGUCAUCAAGCCCAGCCUCCUGCACUGAGUCAGGACCAAAUAAACUAGACCAUCUCAACUGACUAGACGGUUACUAAUUAGCCUCUUCUGUCCCUAUGAAGUAUUUUUACAAACUAUAAUUCACUACUCUAUAGCUCAGAAGAGUGUUGGACUCUUGGCUUUUACUCCCCUUCAUGUACAUGCUGCUUAAUAAACCGUCCUUACUAGCUGUUGGCUUAUUAAUGUAUUUAACUAAUGAUAAAUGAUUCAUAAUUUAGUAGUUAAACACAUACAAACAAGCACAAUCAAUUAAUAAUGGAGGGCUAAAUUCUAUCUUCAGAUAUGUGAAUAAAACCACAAUUAAAUUCAGUGGUGGAUAUAUGUAUCUAAUUCUAAGUUUGACCUGUUAAAAAUAUGAGGCCCAGUCCUGCAACCCAAUGAAGCUACUGUUGCAUGAAUAAGUUUUGCAAGAUUGAGUCCUUAAAUUGUAUAUAAAAAUAAAGUAUCAGUAUUUAAUUUAGCUGCUAUAAAAAUGUACAAUAUCAGUUUACUGCAAGGCCCUCAGAUCACACUGAGAACCUUCUCUCUAUCUUUGUGGAAAGAUGCAACACUCAUCUCUUUUUGUCAUCCUUCUCCUAAGGAUGGUGAAAUGAUGCUUAUGGGAUCGGAGAACAAGUUCUGCACCUUUGUAUUAAGUGGCUUAAAUUGACUAGGAGAAACGGAAAGUGUCCACAAUAGACUUUUCAUUAAGACAGUCAAUGACCUGAAGAAUUUAAAAUCUAAACAGACAAGACACAACAACAGCCAGCAUAUAAGAAAGCAUAAUUUCUAAAUAUAUGGAGCUAGCACACAGAUAUAACAGUGGUGAGUACCUCAUGAACAGUAAUUAAUACUUUUACAAAUGAUGAGUUUUACCCAUUCAGUAUACUGAGAAACAAAUGGAAGAAUUUAAAUACUGGUUAAUAUCCUUUUUUUUCUUUACAAGGUUAAUUUACUCACCAAUUCAGCAUUUUGGGAUGAAGAAACUGCUUCAGUAAGGGAGUAAGGUAAGACACAAUUGGGGAAAGUGUAAGAACAGAAAGAGAGCACAGAGUCUGACUGGUACUGAGUGGCAAGGCAAACUGUUUAGAGUGCACAUAGGUGCCUUCUGUUGGAUUUACGGGAUAACUGGAAUCAAAUUAAGAAGCAUGCCAAUGGAAAGAACCAUCAGGAAGCCAAGGUGGGGGAAAUUCUGAAAAUUCUGUACCUUAAUGGGUAAAGAAGGGAAGUGGAGAAAAGGAGCCCCUAAAUCCCAAAGCUCCAAAUUAUGUAUGGCCAGGAAGAACAGCAGCAAAGCCCUGGGAAGGAAAAGGCUAUUAGGGUUGAGGGGGAGAAGCUGAAGGAGCAGAAGACAGCAAGAAGUGGGGAGUCAAACAGCCCACCAUGGGAGGAGACUAGCCAGGAUCCCUGGGAAAGGAGAAGUUAUGCAGUCUGAAAAAGUACAUCCACAAUCUGUUUCUGGAGCCUGCACAAACAGGUGCAUGGCGUACACAGAUUACUGAGUAUCUGCUCUACUGGUACAGAAUCAUCAGUCAGGAUCCUCCUUGGCCUUCCCUUGACCCAUUUCAUCCUAUUUUUACCUCUUCUUUUUCUUCUCCCAAAGCCUGAAGUCAUCCCUCUUAUUCUCAUCCAUAUCUGUCAAAGAGGGACCAAAUGGAAAGAAAAAGCUGAGAAGAGAUGGCUAAGAGUUGUGUUUCACACUUCCAGAAAAGGAAGCAAAGAAUACUAGGGUGGUCAGGAGUCAACCUACAUAUAUCUUGGGCAUUAUUUUUGAUUCACCUCUCCUCUGUCAGGAAGAGUCUGAUUCUCUUGUGCCUUUCUCAGCUCCUAUUGUGGACUAUCCUCAAGAGAGAUCAGGGAACUCUUUUUUAACUUUAUCAUGAACCUGUGUGACUGAAGUAUCGAGAGAGUCACCUGGGUCACUUCCGAUGAGGUUCCUGGGGAUGAUCAUCUAAUGAGCAUGUCAUUUAAGAAUUAUUACAGAUGAGUCCCUAAACUCACAUGAUUUAUUAUCAGUGUCAGUACCUUUAUGAACCUGAGUAGAGACAGAUGACAGAUAAAAGGAGUAAUACUUUGUAUUUGUAGUGACUACUUCUGUAGGGAGGGAACAAAAAAAUUGAAGAAAUUGCUAGUGAUGGGAGCGGAGUGGAAUAUGCAGCUAAGCUUCUGUCAGGCCUGCUGGAGAGAUUGUAAAAAAUAAUGGAAGCUAGAAUCCGAUCCUGAAUUUAAUUCUUCUUCGUUGACCUGUUCAGCCUCUUGAGGUCUAAGAUGGCUUGGAUUCUUCCUGAUCUUUCCCUUUCUAUGAAGAAUAUGGAAUAGAACCCUGAAAACAUUUGCUCUUGGGAGAGAGGCUCUACUACUUAUAGCUCUGGGAGAUGAGAGAUUUACUUCAGGAUGGCUUGCUGUGUCUUAAGGCUGCAGAAUGGAUAAAGAUGUAGAAGAGCCUGGAGCACCAGAGAUUAUCAGUGUUGAACUCUAAUGUUGACUGGAACCAUGUGUCUAAGUGCCCUCAGGGAGUAUUUCUGGGUGGAAUCUGGCACAGUUGCAUCCAUACUGACUGUCUGGAUUGGAAACAAGGGCUAAACUUGUUCCCUGAUCAGGACUUGUCUGUGGGUUACUGGUUUACUGUUUACCCUGGAAUAAGAGAAGUCCCUUAUCUGGUGGCCUGUGUUGUGGGUAGCAAUGAAAGGAGCUUUUGUAUAAGGACUGUAGUCCUUUUAUCUUUUUUGGUGUAGAGAAUAAAUACUUUCACUUCCACCUUAUCCCAGUGUCUACCUAAACAGGAUUCCCACCUGAGACCUUUGAGGCACAGAGGGAGUUGCUUUGAAUAGUUUUGCACAGCCUUUUGCUGCCAGCUUCAUGGAGUCCAUGGAUCCAUCUGCCACAAAUGGAGUUGCUAGGGAUAGUUUCUUCAGUGUUGACUCGACCUUGUCAUGGGCUUCUGGUGGUCCAAGCUUUUCAACUCACUGCACCAGGACAUCAUGGCUCUAGUGAAGAAUAUGCUUGCGAAUGAGUGUCUAUGGAUUUAUCUACACAGCAAUUAAAAACCUGCCAAGUGGGAGGGUCUCAGAGCUUGGGCUGCAGCCUGAGCCUGAAGGUCCACACCGUAAUUAAACAGCCCCUCAGCCUGAGCCUUUUGAGCCUGAGUCAGCUGGCACAGGCCACCCUUGGGUGUCUAACUGCAGCGUAGACAUACUCUAUGGAUCACUGAAGAAAUUUCCAAGUACUAUCUAAGGGUAGCGUCCAUCUUCUUAUCUGCAAUGUCUUUUGGGAAGAAAUAACGGUUGGUAAGAUUAGCACAAAUUUUUACUUGGGGAGUUUCUGUUAAUCAGCUUUAGGGAGAAUAAAGAACCUUUGGCUUUUAAGAUCCUAUGAAACUCCAGGGCUUGUUGACAGCAUUUUUUGUCUUCGGUUGGGAGUUUCUUAUCUUUCCCCAGGAAAGAGGAGUGGAGGAUGAAAAGGAAGUGAGAAAACUAUUAACAUCAAGAAAAAAUGAAAAACUAAACUAUAAAAAAUACAACUUAAAUGAUAAAGUAAGUAUUGAGGUCUAGACUGAUAGGCAAAAAGGAAAUGAAAGGGUCAUCAUAUACAAUAUAUACAGUACUGUAGCAUGACACUAGUCCAUACACAGUAAAUGCACGACUGAUGGACUUUUCCUGGAUUCAGUGGAUUAGAUAACUAUAAGGCAGUCCCUGUGAGAAACUCCAAGAGUGGAUUUUACAAAAGAAAGACUAAGUUGGAAAACAACUUUUUAUCUAAAAGAUAAAAAAAUAUAUCCACCAACCCCUGCUGUUUAAAGACAGCCAUGAUUCAAAUAUAAUAAAUAUGAUUCUGCACAUUCCAUUCUUCAGUACUGAUCAAUGGUAUCAUUUUAGAUGUUGUCAGUGUUACACACAAAUACAUAAAACACAGCAGUACUGUCUUGCUAAUUUAAAUAAUUAUGCCAUUCACUUUUGUAAAGUAUAACAAAAGUAUACACUAAGUUUUAAAAUUUGCAAUAUGAUGAAAUCCAGACAAAAUAUGUUCUUAAUUGAAAUUAAAAUUUAAACAAUACAAACAGACAAACGUGCCCAGUAAAAACAACUACAUUGUAUUAAGCAAUACUGACUACACACCUUGCCAUGUAUCUGGUUGCAGAGAAGAGAAGGAAGAAACAGACUUUUGAUCAAGGAGCUGAAGAAGUAAGAACAAAAGCCAAUAAGUUUAUAGGUCUUGGAAGUCAGAACUGAAAAAUGACCCAUAAAUAAAUGAAGAAAAUAAAAUUACUUAGGAUUUUUGAAUACUAUACUACAAGAGAGUGCAGAUGGAAAAAGACUGGAAACAGAACUGAAAUUUAGAGAUAAAAUAAGGAGAUUCCGCCUAUUUUCACAGAUUAAAAGAUGUGCUUUAUAACUAUACUGACUCAUGCUUAGUGUGGUUGGCAAUAGAGAUCGCUAUUGUUUUCCAACGUAAACUGUUCAUUUUUAUUAACUAUAUUUUAAAAUAUUCACCUAUUAGUUUUAUGCAUAGCUCUUUGUUUAAUGUUUACUAAGGCCUCAAUCCUGCAAAGAACUCCAUGUGGGCAGAUCUCCCCUAAAGUCAUCACAGCUCCCUGAAAGAUUGGGGCCUAUUGGCUAGAACCUAUCCUAGUGAACAGUGUGCAGGUAUAGCACUCCAUACACAGAUCUCCCUCUGCCCCUGCACAAGGGAGGGCAACGCAUACUCCUCACUUCCUCCUGGCUACAGAGAAGCUCUGCUGUUGGAGAUCCAGAGAGUUAGGAGGAGUUGAGGUGGGCUAGCGAGUUUAAACCUCCCUCCCUUCAUAACAUUGUAAGUUAUCUAAGUUACUACAGAUGCAGUUUGCAGUGGAUUUCUCAAGUACUUAUAGUUGCUGUUUCUUCAGAAUAAUGUUGUAUUUUUAAUAUGAAAACUGUAUGUUAUUUAUCUGUAAUUUUCUAUUUAAGGCCGAACAAUGUGGGUCGUUAACGUGUACAUAUUUUUUUGUUUCCUUUUCAAAAAGGUUUUAUAUGCAGUGUUUACAUUUUGAGGUUACUGAUGAAUAUAGUAUUUAUUCUGGGUCAGAGUUAAGGGUGCUGUGAUUUGAUUAAAUAUGCU